rnacentral:misc_RNA from 1 species
GAAAUGCGAUAAGUAAUGUGAAUUGCAGAAUUCAGUGAAUCAUCGAAUCUUUGAACGCACCUUGCGCUCCUUGGUAUUCCGAGGAGCAUGCCUGUUUGAGUGUCAUGGAAUUCUCAACUCUGUUUGCUUUUGUGAAUAGAGCUUGGAUUUGGAGGUUUAUUGCUGGUACUUGUGAUCGGCUCCUCUUGAAUGCAUUAGCUCGAACCUUUGCGGAUCAGCUAUCGGUGUGAUAAUUGUCUACGCCGUUGCAGUGAAGCAUAUCAAUGGGCUCGGCUUCCAAUCGUCCUUUACUGGACAAUGACUUUGACCUUUGACCUCAAAUCAGGUAGGAUUACCCGCUGAACUUAAGC